rnacentral:rRNA from 1 species
CGCGUAGGUGGAUUGUUAAGUCAGAUGUGAAAUCCCCGGGCUCAACCUGGGAAUUGCAUUUGAUACUGGCAGUCUAGAGUAUGGUAGAGGGUAGUGGAAUUCCCGGUGUAGCAGUGAAAUGCGUAGAUAUCGGGAGGAACAUCAGUGGCGAAGGCGACUACCUGGACCAAUACUGACACUGAGGCGCGAAAGCGUGGGUAGCGAAC